ensembl:snoRNA SNORD114-5 small nucleolar RNA, C/D box 114-5
UGGACUGAUGAUGACCACUGGUGGCCUAUGAGUCACACAAUGAAUACAUAUCUGGAACUCUGAGGUCCAU